rnacentral:rRNA from 1 species
AUUGAACGCUAGCGGGAUGCUUUACCAAUGCAAGUCGAACGAGUGGCGGACGGGUGAGUAAUAUAUCGGAACGUGCCCAGUAGCGGGGGAUAACUACUCGAAAGAGUGGCUAAUACCGCAUACUAUUGGAGCGGCCGAUAUCGGAUUAGCUAGUGGGUGGGGUAAAGUCUCACCACGGCCACGAUCCGUAGCUGGUUUGAGAGUACGACCAGCCACAACAGGACUGAGACACGGCCACGACUCCUACACAAGGCAGUCGUACCGAAUUUUGGACAAUACGUGCACCCCUGAUGCAGCACUCGCGCGUGUAUACGAGGCCCCCCGGGUUGUAAAGUACUUUUGGGAGCGAAGCGGUAUCUGCAGAAUAAGCACCGGCUAACUACGUGCGAGCUGCCUCGGUAAUUC